UACGUAGGGUGCAAGCGUUAAUCGGAAUUAUUGGGCGUAAAGAGCUCGUAGGCGGCUUGUCGCGUCGAAUGUGAAAACCCGAGGCUCAACUUCGGGCUUGCAUUCGAUACGGGCAGGCUCGAGUUCGGUAGGGGAGACUGGAAUUCCUGGUGUAGCGGUGAAAUGCGCAGAUAUCAGGAGGAACACCGGUGGCGAAGGCGGGUCUCUGGGCCGAUACUGACACUGAGGAGCGAAAGCGUGGGGAGCGAACAGG
rnacentral:rRNA from 1 species